rnacentral:rRNA from 1 species
GAUGAACGCUAGCGGCAGGCCUAAUACAUGCAAGUCGAACGAGAUUAAGGAGCUUGCUUCUUAUGAAAGUGGCGCACGGGUGCGUAACGCGUAUGCAACCUACCUUAAUCAGGGGGAUAGCCCGAAGAAAUUCGGAUUAACACCGCAUAAAAACACAGGAUAGCAUUACCCAAUGUUCAAAUAUUUAUAGGAUUAAGAUGGGCAUGCGUGUCAUUAGCUAGUUGGCGGGGUAACGGCCCACCAAGGCGACGAUGACUAGGGGAUCUGAGAGGAUGACCCCCCACACUGGUACUGAGACACGGACCAGACUCCUACGGGAGGCAGCAGUAAGGAAUAUUGGUCAAUGGAGGCAACUCUGAACCAGCCAUGCCGCGUGCAGGAGGACUGCCCUAUGGGUUGUAAACUGCUUUUAUCCGGGAAUAAACCUUUUUACGUGUAAGAAGCUGAAUGUACCGGAAGAAUAAGGAUCGGCUAACUCCGUGCCAGCCGCCGCGGUAACAC